UACGAAGGGGGCUAGCGUUACUCGGAAUUACUGGGCGUAAAGCGCGUGUAGGCGGCUCCUUAAGUUCUGAUGUGAAAGCCCACGGCUCAACCGUGGAGGGUCAUUGGAAACUGGGAGACUUGAGUGCAGAAGAGGAAAGUGGAAUUCCAUGUGGUAGCGGUGAAAUGCGUAGAGAUAUGGAGGAACACCAGUGGCGAAGGCGGGUCGUCUGGACAGUUCCGUGACGCUGAGGCGCGAAGGCCAGGGGAGCGAAACGGG
rnacentral:rRNA from 1 species